rnacentral:rRNA from 1 species
AUUGAACGCUGGCGGCAGGCCUAACACCUGCAAGUCGAACGAGUGGCGGACGGGUGCGUAAUGUCUGGGAAACUGCCCGAUGGAGGGGGAUAACUACUGGAAAUGGUAGCGAAUACCGCAUACCAUCAGAUGUGCCCAGAUGGGAUUAGCUAGUAGGUGGGGUCAUGGCUCACCUAGGCGACGAUCCCUAGCUGGUCUGAGAGGAUGACCAGCCACACUGGAAAGGAGACACGGUCCAGACUCCGACGGGAGGCAGCAGUGGGGAAUAUUGCACAAUGGGCGCAAGCCUGAUGCAGCCAUGCCGCGUGUGUGAAGAAGGCCUUCGGGUUGUAAAGCACGUUCAGCGAGGAGGCGUUACUCGCAGAAGAAGCACCGGCUAACUCCGUGCCAGCAGCCGCGGUAAUAC